rnacentral:misc_RNA from 1 species
ACCAUCCAAACCCGACUGUGGAUGCGGCCUCCAGCUUGCUGGGCGGUUUACGCGCCACAUGUUCGAAUCCUUUUUUUACGAGCACCAUUUGUUCUCCUUCGGUGGGGUAACCUGCCGUUGGAACCAUCAAAACUCUUUUGCAUCUAGCAUUACCUGUUCUGAUAAAAACAAUCGUUA